rnacentral:sRNA from 1 species
AGUGAACUUCGUUUGCAGUAGAAAUCCUUUUGUCCCGUCUCGUCCCAAAAGACGAGAGGCACAAAAGAUUGUAACAAAAAGCGGGACUAUAU